rnacentral:lncRNA from 1 species
GCGAAGGACUUUCGACAGCCCACUUAGAAAGAAAGCUGCAGAACCAUGACGAGUUGGGAAGGGUCCUGAUCAAUCCUGUGUGGAUCACUGUUGGAGGGCUUCUACUUUGAAGUCUCGUGGAGAUCUCAAAAUCAUCGAUUCAUAGUCUUCAUUGUGGUAUAUGACUUCUGGUCUUCUCCUCAUAUGCUUGAUUUUGUGAUUUAAUUGUUAUCAUCAAGGGGUUCUUUGGGUUUUUGAGUUCUAGUGGUUGUGUUUAAAUAUUAAACUUUAUUUUCAAUAUUGUAUGCAUGUUCAAAAAUUUUGAAAUUUAUAUUUCACUGUAUCACCAGAACCCAACAAAAAAUUGACUCGAUGCACUCGAACCAAGUAUGAACCUUAGUAGAUCCACCUGAGGGUAU